GCUGCGGCGGCGGCAGCCAACUGCUCCAUAUUUGGCUUCUAUUACACAUUUACAUACUGGAGCGAGCGAGCGAGCGAGCGCGAGAGAGCGCGAGGGAGGGAGGGCGGGCGGGCGGAGGGAGGAGGGAGGGGAGGGGAGCGGGAGGAGGGGGAGGAGGAGGAGGAGGAGGAGGAGAGAGCAGAGUAUACCGCAGACAUCAUUUCUACUACAGUGGCGGAGCCGUACAGGACCUGUUUCACUGCAGGGGGAUCCAAAACAAGCCCCGUGGAGCAGCAGCCAGAGCAACAGCAGCCGCAAGACAUUGUUUCUCUCCCUCUGCCCCCCCUUCCCCACGCAACCCCAGAUCCAUUUACACUUUACAGUUUUACCUCACAAAAACUACUACAAGCACCAAGCUCCCUGAUGGAAAGGAGCAUCGUGCAUCAAGUCACCAGGGUGGUCCAUUCAAGCUGCAGAUUUAUUUGUCAUCCUUGUACAACAGUCUCCUCCUCCACUGCCACUACAGGGAAGUGCAUCACAUGUCAGGUCACAGAACAGAAAGUGCUGGUGGACAUCUCUUCUUGCCCUAAGAUCUUCGUUGGAAGUCCUCGGGACUUGGUGUCUUUGCCGUUCAAAGUGUUUAUGAACUCGCCAGGAGGCAUAAUGUGUCACCAUUUUAUUCUGGGCCACCCUAAAGGAUGA
rnacentral:lncRNA from 1 species